rnacentral:sRNA from 1 species
AUUAGCUUCGGUCGGGCCGAAUUUUCAAUACCCUUCACCAUAAGGAAAACAAACAUUUUUAAAUAAAAGUAUUUGGAUUUCCACUUUAGUCUGCAAAUAUCAGUGAGAUCGGUAAAAGAUGAAUUGUGUGGAGCCUUUAUAAAGAUUCAUUUUUUAGCGGGAACAAUUUUCAACUACAAGGACUGUUAUCUUUUUCGGUUCAAUUUAUUGUGCCAAAUUGCAAAGCUCUACUUGAAAUAAUGUGACGUCAUCGUGAUUUCGACGGACGCACAUCGUUAAAUCGACUUUUAUGCUAAUCGUGAUUAUACCAAGAAUCUGAUAUUACCAAGAAUCUAAGACGAAUAUAUCGAGGUGUUGCUAACGGAAUGAUAAAUUUGAUAUAUUCUCCUGUCCAUGGUGGGGGUAUAAAUAAUUAGUGGGAACGAUAAUUUAUAAAAUGCUUACUUUGAUAAUGUUUUAAAGGUAUAACAGUUGGAUGCAAAAAAUAGGGUUUUGGGACGAUUCGGAAAAAAGUUGCGCAUCAAUAGUAGUUAAUUUAAUGUAAUGUAAGCGAAGCAACUUACAGUGUUUUGUAAUAACCAUAGAGUAUAGAUUUGAAAUUGUUUUACAUUGCGGAUACCGGACCUUCUUAAUUGCUCGGAUUAACGACUUCAAAAGAAACUUUACGUUGGAAAUGCUCCCAAAUUUUUGGCUCGUUACUGCUAGGCUAAAAUAAUCGGAAUAUAAAAUAUCGGCAGGUACCGCUAAAUGGGGGGUUAAAAUAAAUAGGACUCAUGCAAACAAUUUAUGCUACAGUGGCGGGUACCUAUUGCGAGUAUAAAAACACAAAUUUGAAACACUUUGGUAAGAAAAUGUUUCUUGUUUCGUUAGUAAGUGUGCCUUAAAUCAUCAAAAAGAUAAUGUCAACAGGUACCUUUAUAAACCUUGGACUGACGUGGUCCAUUGUGCGUGAUUAAAACAGACAGACGAACAGACAGACAGAUGGGCAUCGCUAAAUAGAGUUAAAGUUGUACGCCGAUCCAGAAUAUAUAUACUUUGUAGGGUAUUACAUGAGAAUUUCCAGAAGUUACAAACGGAUCGAUAUACCCUCCAUAUAGGUUAUUGCACAUGGGAGGUUAAUGCCCAUAAGUAACACGUUUAUAACAAAAUAUCGGAAAAUCACCUUCAGAAUAAUUUUAUAUAAGAAUAUUGACAGCAUUUCAAUUGGUAAUACAUUUUUUAAGAACAAUUUGCGACAAAUUGUGCAGCCGUAUACACGCAAAUAAGAAACUAUUUACUUAUAUAGAAUGCAUUUAUAUAAGAAAAGUGGUAGUUUUUAAUGAGUUUGACCUUUCACAUCUCUUUAUUCGAAAAUUGACUUAAAGUUUUCAUGUUAAGUCGUUUCGCUCAGGUAAAUGAAUGUAUAACAAGUGGAGAGAAAUUAAUGAAAGAGGUGUUACAAACGCAAUGUUAAGUUAAUAUACCUUCCUUAGUAUGUUAGAGGUAAUAACAAAUAAAAUUCACCCAUGAAAUAUUGUUUGCAUGUUAUCACUUGAUGCAAGCUUUAUGAAGUAAUAGCAUUCGUAUGUACAUGGGAUUGAUGUAUACUUUCGAACCAACUAUAAAUAUCAUUGUCAUGUCAUGUCAUUAUAUUAUACUUAUGUUUUAAUGAGGAACAAUUAAAUGAGUUUGAAAAUUUUUGGAUCAGUAAUGGAAUUACCAAGGCGAUGUAUUGUCCACUUAAAAUAUUGGCAUCAAGUUUUCGUAUUUUGGCUGAAUUGUAUUAUUGAAAGUAUUACUGUAAAUCUCGUAACAUAUACAUAACAUGAUAACUUACGGCGUUACUGUUGAUUUAUUUGCAAUAUCGCACUUUAAAUAAUAUAUUAUACAAUUGUUCGCUUACGACAUUGCAACGUUCACCAAAUCACCAUAAUAAUAAAUGCUUUUGUAUUGGACCGACAAGGACAAUUUAAUACAAAUGUAUAUUAUAACAAUUGAAGUAUCGCACUGAGCUAUAAAAUAUUGCCGGGGAAUUACUUGGCCCGUUUAAACAAUUUAUGGCUAUUUUUGAAAUAUUUCACUAGAUUUAAACAAACCUUUUAAAAUAAGAGCGAGAAGAGGCAGAAAUAUCAUAGACAAAUAAACGUAUAGACAAAAAAGUCUGUUAUCUUCAAAAAUAGAUAUCGUUCAUGCUGGGAAAAGAACUAAAGUCUGUUCACUUAAUUUUCUCAAUAUACAUUAAAAAAUACCAAAUGUUUUUAUGAUUUAUUAAUAUGUAUCAAUGGAAAACAAAAUAUACAACUACAAACAUACAACUUAUAGACCCA